UACGGAGGGAGCUAGCGUUGUUCGGAAUUACUGGGCGUAAAGCGCACGUAGGCGGCUUUGUAAGUUAGAGGUGAAAGCCCGGGGCUCAACUCCGGAACUGCCUUUAAGACUGCAUCGCUUGAACCCAGGAGAGGUGAGUGGAAUUCCGAGUGUAGAGGUGAAAUUCGUAGAUAUUCGGAAGAACACCAGUGGCGAAGGCGGCUCACUGGACUGGUAUUGACGCUGAGGUGCGAAAGCGUGGGGAGCGAACAGG
rnacentral:rRNA from 1 species